rnacentral:lncRNA from 1 species
UUAAAAUACUGGACCCAUUAUCAUGCACCUUAAUGAAAAGUUAUGAACUAGCUCCCCCAUAACUGUAUCAUUUUAAGGACCUAAUAAUUUUGAAGAUUUAAUUAUAUGUUUAAGAAAAGAGAUUAACUAGCAAUCAACAUCCUCCCACUGACUUCACCAAGUCUUUGAAGAGGACUAGAGACUAAGCUGAUUAAGAGGCACCUAAAUCAGUCAUACUAAUAACUUAAUAUCCUCCCACUGACUUCACCAAGUCAUGAGAGGA